UGGUAGUCCACGCCGUAAACGGUGGGUACUAGGUGUGGGUUUCCUUCCUUGGGAUCCGUGCCGUAGCUAACGCAUUAAGUACCCCGCCUGGGGAGUACGGCCGCAAGGCUAAAACUCAAAGAAAUUGACGGGGGCCCGCACAAGCGGCGGAGCAUGUGGAUUAAUUCGAUGCAACGCGAAGAACCUUACCUGGGUUUGACAUGCACAGGACGCUGGUAGAGAUAUCAGUUCCCUUGUGGUCUGUGUGCAGGUGGUGCAUGGCUGUCGUCAGCUCGUGUCGUGAGAUGUUGGGUUAAGUCCCGCAACGAGCGCAACCCUUGUCCUAUGUUGCCAGCGGGUUAUGCCGGGGACUCGUAGGAGACUGCCGGGGUCAACUCGGAGGAAGGUGGGGAUGACGUCAAGUCAUCAUGCCCCUUAUGUCCAGGGCUUCACACAUGCUACAAUGGCCGGUACAAAGGGCUGCGAUGCCGUGAGGUGGAGCGAAUCCUUGUAAAGCCGGUCUCAGUUCGGAUCGGGGUCUGCAACUCGACCCCGUGAAGUCGGAGUCGCUAGUAAUCGCAGAUCAGCAACGCUGCGGUGAAUACGUUCCCGGGCCUUGUACACACCGCCCGUCACG
rnacentral:rRNA from 1 species